rnacentral:misc_RNA from 1 species
AUGAUGCGCUCUAGUCAUCUGAUAUUUUUCUUGAGAUGCCAUUGGUAUUCUGCUACUUUCUAAUUGUUUAUGUUAGAUAUUGUUUUUGUUGGUUUGAAGGACUUGGACCUGAGGUCUAAUGGGCAUCACUACUCGCAAGGUAUGCAAUUGCAACUGUGGGAGGAUGCCUCAGUGACUGCUACCAGAUUGAGUUGAACAUCUAAUGCAGGCAACAUAUCCCCG